AGGAUGUUAAAUUGAUAGAUUUAAAAUUCAUUGAACCUAGGCGGAACAAUACAGAAGAAAGCCGAGUUAUCCAAAAAAAAAUGUUUACGUAAUUUUGCUUUCGUUUCUUGUCCAAACGCAUUAUUUUUAAUUUUUGUUUAUUCUGUUAUAACAAUUGUAUGAACCCAAAUUUACCCGAGGCCCAAAAAUGGCCUAGAACCCUAACAGACCCAAACUAAACCAGACCUGGCCAAGUCUAAACCCAAACCCGGAGCCCAAAACGAGGCCCAACUGACUUAGCCCAUUACAAACCCAAAAAUCUGAAGCCCAAUGAAAUAAGCCCAAAACCCAAUCAGCCCCAAAUAGCCCGAAUCAUUACAGAAUGCCAGAAACCCUACGGUUUCUGGCGCCGUACCCCGCAUCCUAGACCCUAUCUGCCACCACCGUUCGUCGUGUCCCAUCCGCCCAUACCCUCUGCCUUUGUAGCCCGCCACCAAACACCUACAAACAAGAAAAGAAGGGACAACAACAACAGUAUAGAGCAAUAACACAAUCGGCUAUAAAAGCCGAAGCAAAUGUAACUUCUUUUUCUUCUGAAUACACGAAUAUUUGAAAUAACAAAAGAACAAGUUAAAAGGUGAUUUUUUUUCUCUGGAUCCAUUUCUCAUUUCUUUUUAUUUUACAUAUAUAAAAUAAAUAGAUUAAAAAAGGGAAAAGAAAGUGUACCUGAAUCGCCCCGCCAAUGCCGUCGCCGAAGUCCUCCUUCGGGUCACCGAAAUCGGACUAGGAGGGUGGCGUUUGGGGUUCCGCUCCAUAGUCCUGAGGCCACGAAAGUUGGGCCUUCAGUUGGUCCCUGAAACGGGGUUGAAGAACCGACCGUUGGGAGCCUCUGACCACUGCACACGGCGGGGCCGAUGGUGGUUCGUUCGGCCAAGGAAAAGGGAGCAGAAUGUUUUUUUUCUUUUCUCUGAGAUUUUUUUUAAAGCAGU
rnacentral:lncRNA from 1 species